rnacentral:pre_miRNA from 1 species
UUAAUGCUAAUUGUGAUAGGUGUUUUAUCUCUGAUCAACUCCUACAUGUUAGCAUUAAUA